rnacentral:misc_RNA from 1 species
GUUUAGGGUGCUUGUGGGGAACUGUAGAACAGUUUCAGAUGGAUUUAUAGUAGACCUUCUGGGUGAAGCUUCUAUUCUCCCCCUAUUUAGAAUGCAGCGGAUUCUACCUUUAAACUUGGUCUUCCCUCCUGCAUAUUCAAUGUUUGCAUUUGUGCUAUGGAGGCCAUUGAUUCUCAAUGCAAGUUCUGGGACACGUGAUGAGGUUCAGCACUUGCAUCACUCUUUAAUGUUGGCU